CUGCUGCCUUCCGUAGGAGUCUGGUCCGUGUCUCAGUACCAGUGUGGGGGACCUUCCUCUCAGAACCCCUACGCAUCGUCGCCACGGUGGGCCGUUACCCCGCCGUCUAGCUAAUGCGCCGCAUGCCCCAUCCUCUUCCGAUGAAUCUUUCCUCGAUCCUCGGAUGCCCGAAACCGNUAUACGCGGGAUUAGCCUCCCUUUCGGAAGGUUGUCCCCCUGAAGAGGGCAGGUUGCAUACGUGUUACUCACCCGUGCGCCGGUCGCCGG
rnacentral:rRNA from 1 species